rnacentral:rRNA from 1 species
GAUGAACGCUGGCGGCGUGCUUAACACAUGCAAGUCGAACGAAGCACUUUAUUUGAUUUCCUUCGGGACUGAUUAUUUUGUGACUGAGUGGCGGACGGGUGAGUAACGCGUGGGUAACCUGCCUUGUACAGGGGGAUAACAGUUGGAAACGGCCGCUAAUACCGCAUAAGCGCACAGCAUCGCAUGAUGCAGUGUGAAAAACUCCGGUGGUAUAAGAUGGACCCGCGUUGGAUUAGCUAGUUGGUGAGGUAACGGCCCACCAAGGCGACGAUCCAUAGCCGACCUGAGAGGGUGACCGGCCACAUUGGGACUGAGACACGGCCCAAACUCCUACGGGAGGCAGCAGUGGGGAAUAUUGCACAAUGGGCGAAAGCCUGAUGCAGCGACGCCGCGUGAGCGAAGAAGUAUUUCGGUAUGUAAAGCUCUAUCAGCAGGGAAGAUAAUGACGGUACCUGACUAAGAAGCACCGGCUAAAUACGUG